rnacentral:rRNA from 1 species
GACGAACGCUGGCGGCGUGCCUAAUACAUGCAAGUUGAGCGCUGAAGGUUGGUACUUGUACCAACUGGAUGAGCAGCGAACGGGUGAGUAACGCGUGGGGAAUCUGCCUUUGAGCGGGGGACAACAUUUGGAAACGAAUGCUAAUACCGCAUAAAAACUUUAAACACAAGUUUUAAGUUUGAAAGAUGCAAUUGCAUCACUCAAAGAUGAUCCCGCGUUGUAUUAGCUAGUUGGUGAGGUAAAGGCUCACCAAGGCGAUGAUACAUAGCCGACCUGAGAGGGUGAUCGGCCACAUUGGGACUGAGACACGGCCCAAACUCCUACGGGAGGCAGCAGUAGGGAAUCCUCGGCAAUGGACGAAAGUCUGACCGAGCAACGCCGCGGGAGUGAAGAAGGUUUUCGGAUCGUAAAACUCUGUUGGUAGAGAAGAACGUUGGUGAGAGUGGAAAGCUCAUCAAGUGACGGUAACUACCCAGAAAGGGACGGCUAACUACGUG